UACGGAGGAUCCGAGCGUUAUCCGGAUUUAUUGGGUUUAAAGGGAGCGUAGGCGGAGGAUCAAGUCAGCUGUGAAAUGUAGACGCUCAACGUCUGCACUGCAGUUGAAACUGGUCCCCUUGAGUGCGUAAGGGGCAGGCGGAAUUCGUCGUGUAGCGGUGAAAUGCUUAGAUAUGACGAAGAACUCCGAUCGCGAAGGCAGCUUGCCGGGCCGCAACUGACGCUGAAGCUCGAAGGUGCGGGUAU
rnacentral:rRNA from 1 species